AACGAACGCUGGCGGCAGGCCUAACACAUGCAAGUCGCGCGGUCAGCAAUGGCAGCGGCGGACGGGUGAGUAACGCGUAGGAAUGUGUCUUGAGGUGGGGGACAACCCUGGGAAACUGGGGCUAAUACCGCAUGUGUCCUGAGGGACAAAGCCGUGAGGCGCCUUGAGAGCAGCCUGCGUCCGAUUAGGUAGUUGGUGGGGUAAUGGCCUACCAAGCCUGCGAUCGGUAGCUGGGCUGAGAGGACGACCAGCCACACUGGGACUGAGACACGGCCCAGACUCCUACGGGAGGCAGCAGUGGGGAAUAUUGGACAAUGGGCGCAAGCCUGAUCCAGCAAUGCCGCGUGGAUGAAGAAGGUCUUCGGAUUGUAAAGUCCUUUCGGCGGGGACGAUGAUGACGGUACCCGCAGAAGAAGCCCCGGCUAACUUCGUGCCAGCCGCCGCAGUAAGAC
rnacentral:rRNA from 1 species